rnacentral:ribozyme from 13 species
CACUGGUUGAAAGAAGAAAUUGAACACAGAAAAAAUACAAGAUAGACCUUCAAUUAUUCAAUCUUUUUUUUUCUUAAGAAGGCGCCCCUUUCUCUCUUGUUUGUAUCCUGUCUGAUCUCUUUUUCUCUUCUCUCUUUGUUUUGUGGGA